CUUCACCAAGGUUUUUAUGGAAGAACUGGUAGCUUUCCAAAUGGAGGAAGACAAGGUUAGGAUUGAUUGAAUGGUUGUUUCUUUACCGUUUGAGAAAAAUACUGAAUGUGAAAAUAUGUCAAACCACUUGGACUGCCCUUACAAAACCACAGAGAGAAGGUUGCUGAAACUGAGAAUGAAUCCCCUGAAAAGGGAAUGCUUCAGGAGACCCCAAGCAAAGAACAAAAAGCUGCUAUGGUGCCUGCUGAGAAAAGGUUCGCUCUGCUUGAAUCAGAUGGUAACAGACUUGGGUAUACAAUAUUGACAAGAAACACAGAGCACCUGGGCCCUACCCCUGAGAACAGCGGAGCUGGAGAUGAAAACAUCUGA
rnacentral:lncRNA from 1 species